rnacentral:tRNA from 1 species
UCCUCUGUAGCUCAGUUGGUUAGAGCGCUGCACCGGAAUCGCAGGGCCGUAGGUUCAAUUCCUACCAGAGGAC